GGGGAAUUAGCUCAAAUGGAAGAGCGCUCGCUUCGCAUGCGAGAGGUAGCGGGAUCCAUACCCGCAUUCUCCA
rnacentral:tRNA from 1 species